AUUGAACGCUAGCGGCAGGCCUCACACAUGCAAGUCGAACGAGUGGCGGACGGGUGAGUAAUGUCUGGGAAACUGCCUGAUGGAGGGGGAUAACUACUGGAAACGGUAGCUAAUACCGCAUACCAUCAGAUUUGCCCAGAUGGGAUUAGCUUGUUGGUGGGGUAACGGCUCACCAAGGCAACGAUCCCUAGCUGGUAUGAGAGGCUGACCAGCCACACUGGAACUGAGACACGGCCCAGACUCCUACGGGAGGCAGCAGUGGGGAAGUUUGGACAAUGGGCGAAAGCCUGAUGCAGCCAUGCCGCGUGUAUGAAGAAGGCCUUCGGGUUGGAAAGUAUUUUUAGCAGGGAGGCGUUAUCUGCAGAAUAAGCACCGGCUAACUACGUGCCAGCAGCCGCGGUAAUAC
rnacentral:rRNA from 1 species